AAAAUUUUUAGGGAUAUCCCUGUGGAUUUCAAGUACAUAGCAGAACCCAGUAUGCACUCAAUGCCUGCAGUGACUUUGUCUCCAAAUGGAAAAUGGCUAGCAUGCCAAUCAAUGGACAACCAAAUCUUAAUUUUUGGAGCACAGAACAGAUUUAGAUUAAAUAAGAAAAAAAUUUUUAAGGGCCAUAUGGUAGCAGGCUAUGCUUGUCAGGUGGACUUUUCACCAGACAUGAGUUAUGUGAUUUCAGGAGAUGGAAAUGGAAAAUUAAACAUUUGGGACUGGAAGACCACAAAACUCUACAGUCGAUUUAAAGCUCAUGAUAAAGUGUGUAUAGGUGCAGUGUGGCAUCCUCAUGAAACUUCUAAGGUCAUAACAUGUGGUUGGGAUGGUCUCAUUAAAUUGUGGGAUUAAUGAGAUUAAUCCUUAAACUAGCUGGGAUCAUUUUUGAUCCAUUGUCAUAUUUAUAUUUAAUUAUUAAAUGUAUCUGAUGAUAACUUGAUUUACAGAUAAUGUUGAUGACAUUGACCCUUUGUUUAAAAAAAGAAACUGUAAAUUUGACAUAAUUUCAUUUGCAACUUCAUUUUGUUUUUUAUAAAUGUUAUUUAUACAGAAAGUGGCUAUUGACUUUCUAUUUGACAAGUAGUUAUAAUUGGCAAGCAGUUUGAGUUUAUACUCAUGACAUACUGAAAGCAUCUCUUUGGGGUCAAGAAAGAAUCCCUAGUGGAUUUGGGAUUCUAGAGGAGGUGUUAUAAUUAAUUAUUCAGAAAAAUGCAUGUAUUUACCUCUUCAACCAAAAGGGCAGUAAAGAAUAGGGAUAAUAUAUUUUAAUGUAAAUUUGGAAGAAGGAUAAAAUCACCCACAGUUACUCUCCCUAUUAUUUUCACUGGGUCAAGUUUUAAUCUUUUGGCUUCAUGAGUUCCACUCCCUUUGAUGAUAUAUGUUGUAUAUUUUUAGUUGUAAAGCAGUAAUCUUUAACUGUAGCAUUCCUCUAAUUAUAAACAGUGAAAAAUCAAAAUCAGUCCAGAGUUCUUUUGUUGACUUAAUUCCUGAUCAGUAUAGACAGGACUAUAUAUAUUUAAUCAGAGAAUUACAUUAUAUCUGAAGAUGGAACUCAGGAGAAUGCACCAAGACUUUGAAUUGUAUUUACAUUCACUGUCAGUAAAGACCUGGCUACGCUUUGAGAAAUCAGGAUCUCCUAGGUCAUUGCUUCGCAGCUGUAAUUACUGAAAUCCUCCUCAUAGGAGAUAAAGUACGAGGGGUAGAGUCCAAGAUGUCAACUUGUAAUUUCUUUGAAGUCAUAUGUUUUAUCUUUAAAAUUAUUCUUAUUUUACCUGUGAAUAUAUACAACAGGACUUUUUAAGAUUAAAAAAUUUUUAAACCUCUAUGUCUGAAAAAAAAAAAAUGACACUCCUGGAAGAUGGCUAGGGUUCCCCAGUUUGAGAAGCAGUGGCCAUGGUGAAAAAUAGUGUUUGAAAACAUCAGAUUAUAAAAUCAAGAUAGGCCGGACGCGGUGGCACAUGCCUGUAAUCCCAGCACUUUGGGAGGCUGAGGCAGGUGAAUCACCUGAGGUCAGGAGUUCAAGACCAGCCUGGCCAACAUAGUGAAACCCCGUCUCUACUAAAAACACAAAAAUUAGCCAGGCAUGGUGGCUGGCGCCUGUAAUUCCAGCUACUCAGAAGGCUGAGGCAGGGAGAAUUGCUUGAACCCAGGAGUGGAGGUUGCAGUGAGCUGAGAUCAUGCCACUGCACUCCAGCCUGGGCGACAGAGCGAGACUCCACCUCAAAAAAUAAAAUAAAAUAAAGAUAACCUCUUGAAUGUAAUAGCUCAUAGCACUUUAAUUUGGCAAGCCAUUUUUCCUGUUUUAUUAUAAAUCUAUAUUAGAUGUUUGAAUAUGGUUUGAAAUAUUUCACUACCGUGCUGAAAAAGGUUGGUUGAUAGCAGCUUGGAGUGCUAACUGGAAGAUCAAAAUCAUGUCUCUUGCUGAUAACCUAAGAGCAUUAAGCUCUGAGUCCAGUGAGGUCAUAGCAGUGUAUGCUCCUUGCCCUUACGGAGUGUCUGUUUUUAGAAAUUUAGAUUUUAAAAGGCGUGGGACAUACGACCAGGCCCUAUAGCCACAUAAAUAUAAAUUUCAUAGAAAAAGAAUAAAAGCGGAGAUAUAUUUUUUGACACAGAGGCACCCAAAGAAAUACAAACAUUGCCUAGCUGCUGCCAUUUCUGUAACUGCCCAGAAGGGUGACAGAUUUCUGAAGGGGAAAGGAUUCAGAUAUGACCUUUUCUUUAGUCCCAACCACUAGUUUUAACAAAUGUGAAUUAUUGAAAUGUGAAGGGACAAAAAGAAUCAUACAUUUAAACUGUCUUGUUCAGCAUACCAAUAUUGUAUGUUACAAAUCAUCAUUUCUAAAUCUGGAUUGAUUCUGUUGUGUUUUUGACUGUUUCUAAAGUAAGUGUGUAUAAAAGUUGUCUCCUUUUUAAAAAGAUCAUAUUUUUAAAUAAAGCAUUUUUUGUAGAAAGUGCUAUCAAAACGUUCAUCUUGUUCAUCUUUAGUCUCCUUUUGAGUCUUAAGUGUAUUGAGACACUAGAU
rnacentral:lncRNA from 1 species